rnacentral:rRNA from 1 species
CCUACGGGGCGCUGCAGUGGGGAAUAUUGGACAAUGGGCGAAAGCCUGAUCCAGCCAUGCCGCGUGUGUGAAGAAGGCCUUCGGGUUGUAAAGCACUUUCAGUGGGGAAGAAAGCCUUGGGGCUAAUACCCUCGAGGAAGGACAUCACCCACAGAAGAAGCACCGGCUAACUCCGUGCCAGCAGCCGCAGGUAAUACGGAGGGUGCGAGCGUUAAUCGGAAUUACUGGGCGUAAAGCGCGCGUAGGCGGUCUGAUAAGCCGGUUGUGAAAGCCCCGGGCUCAACCUGGGAACGGCAUCCGGAACUGUCAGGCUAGAGUGCAGGAGAGGAAGGUAGAAUUCCCGGUGUAGCGGUGAAAUGCGUAGAGAUCGGGAGGAAUACCAGUGGCGAAGGCGGCCUUCUGGACUGACACUGACGCUGAGGUGCGAAAGCGUGGGUAGCAAACAGGAUUAGAUACCCCAGUAGUC